UCUCAUAUAAGGCAAGGCUACCCGCUGAACUUAAGCAUAUCAAUAAGCGGAGGAAAAGAAACCAACAGGGAUUCCCCUAGUAACGGCGAGUGAAGCGGGAAAAGCUCAACUUGAAAAUCGUCUUCCAAGACGAGUUGUAGUUGCAAGAAGCGUCUUUUGAGCUGACGUGCGUCAAACUGGAUUUGAAUGUCCGGCCAGAGAGGGUGCGAGCCCCGUGUGUGACGUGCGCUUUAAGCUCUUACAAAGCGCCUUCGAAGAGUCGGGUUGCUUGAGAUCGCAGCCCAAAGUGGAAGGUAGACUCCUUCUAAAGCUAAAUAUUUGCACGAGACCGAUAGCGAACAAGUACCGUGAGGGAAAGAUGAAAAGCCCUCUGAAGAGAGAGUGAAACAGUACGUGAAACCGUUAAAAGGGAAGCGAUUGGCGUGAGAACGAGCGGCUGUAAUCAGCAGGAUGCCGCUGCGGCUGUGCGUGGACGAGAGAGCAAUCCUCGUUGCGCAGAGGCGCGGUGUCCACCUGUGCACUUGCAAGUCGUACAACUCAGCAUCAGUUGCGUGCGGGCGGAAAAAGCCGUGCGGAAGGUGGGGGUCGAGCGCUUGCGUUUUGGCCUCUUUAUAGACGCGCGGUGGAACGUCGGCGGCGACUGUGGGAACACGCGGCGAGCAGCAAUGCGGCCCAACAUGUCGUGGCAGCGGUGCGGGAAUGCGUGCAUUGUCGUGUCGUGGUGCUGUGGCAGGAAGGACCAACUCGCCAAGGAUGCCUGAGGAGAAUAACGCCAACCGACCCGUCUUGUAACACGGACCAAGGAGUGCACCACAUGCGCGAGUCUUUGGGUGGAAAAACCCCGAGGCGAAGUGAAAGCAAACAAGGUUGGAGUGCGGUCAAACGCAUGCACAAUCGGCCGGUCUGGAUUAGCCAUGAAAGAUCUGAGUAAGAGCGCAGGUGAGGCGACCCGAAAGAGAGUGAACUAUGCCUGGGCAGGAUGAAGUCAGAGGAAACUCUGAUGGAGGUCCGCUGUGGUUCUGACGUGCAAAUCGAUCAUUAGACCUGGGUAUAGGGGCGAAAGACUAAUCGAACUCUCUAGUAGCUGGUUCCAUCCGAAGUUUCCC
rnacentral:rRNA from 14 species